GUGCUCACUUAACAGCACAUAUUCUAAAAUUAGAACAAUACAGAGAACGUUAGCAUGGCAUUGUGCAAGAUGGCAUGCCAAUUCUUGAAGCAUUCCAUAUUUUU
rnacentral:snRNA from 1 species